CGUGCUGCAGUGACGCAACGCUGCUGUCUCAGUGUGAAGCAUCAGUUUAAAGAUCAGCUUGCACAUCACCUUUGAGGCUUGAGAGACUUACCUACUACAGAACCAAAGGUCUUGUACCAACUGGGAUACGACUGCAAUGUUGGAAGCUGUGCGAGAGCUUAUAAAUUGUUCUGAUCAACAUUAAAAGACCAAAGCCUUUCAGCUUCCACCUGAACAUAAGACCAACAGUACUGCAGCGCUCAGCAGGAUGAAGUGGCACAUCACUACAAAAACAUGAGCAAAGGCUACCCGAUGAUGACCUUGCCUCAGGAAGUGAUUCUCUUUCCAGAAGAACACCUUCUGUGGCUGAUCUGCCAGCUAACUUGGAUCUGAGACCAUCAGUCAAAAGCCUUUACUUCCUCCCUUCCCUAUUUUCAACUUCUCCCUAGCCUCCAUUUCUAUAUUUCAGCUAGAGAAGACGGCCACUCUUUUCGUUUAGAAGUAGAAACUGGGAAGAACCUUUCUUCUGCUCUAAGGAAGAUUGCUUAAACGAACUGCAUUUAACUCUUGCUUUGGAAAACAGACUUUGUUACACUUCUAAGUUUGUUCAGCACAAGCAUUCUGCUAAAUAUUUUGUGUUUUGAUUCUUUUUCUCAUGAGCAUCCAGAUGGAUCCAUUUCCCCUUUUGGCAAGAAUAUUCUCACACAGGUGGUACUAAGCAAGAUGAAAGCCGUGACCUCAAAACCUUCAAACUUGUGUAACAAUGUUCGUGUGACUGUGUCAUUUCUUUUGAUUUUCUGAGUCUUUUACCUUGUGGAAACUAGCACAACAGUGUGCACAACUCUUCACUGCUCACACAACUCAUCUGAAUCAAUAUAUUUUGGCUUUCCCUGACACUCUGGGUUAUAAAAGUACUGUACAGUGUAAUAAAUUUUCACGGUAACUUAUCAAUAAGCAAUGCUUAGUCUCAUGCAAAGUGUGCUGCUUAUUAGCUCCUAAAUAAACAUUGCUGGGGUGUAUUUGAAGA